GUAUGUGUGGGUGCGCGUGUGUGUAGAAAAAGAAAACGACUGACCACUUCUAGGCUUUUCUCUUCCAUCUCAUAAACGGUGAAAUCCUGUGAGGGCAAAACAUAAACCAAACGGGUCAUCAUCACACACCUGUCAAUCCAGGCCAGCAGACUCUUGGCGGCGGCGAUGAGCUCCACCACGGCAGUAAGGAAGUCAUUGGAGGGCCGGUGGGCGCCGCUGCUGUGAUAGGCGGGGUUCUUCCGACGCUGCGACACGGCGCCGCUCAGGUCGCGGUAGGCCAGCCUCAUCCUGCCCACCAGCGUUUUCAGUUUGUCCGACUCCACGCCGUUGUUCUUCUCCCAGGGAAAGCAACGAGCAGCACAAAAGACUCAUUUUGGAUGGAAGAAGAUGGAAAACUGCUGCCAAGUAGUCAGCGCAUGUCAGUUUUUGCUAUCGUCUAUAGUGCUAUUCGAAUCGGAUCAUUACCGGGUACUUUCAGAGAGUCCUUUUCUAUCGAGUGGAAUAUUUCUUGUGAUGUAAAAGAGAUUUGGGUGGGGGGUUUUUUCUAUCUGUAAGAAAACAUUUGCCUUCCAGUCAACCACGACGAUGGCGUACCAACGCACAGAGCAGGUCGACAGCCUCCAUCAUGAGCUCCUGAUGGCCCACCCUGAGCACGCCCAGCGCACUCAGUUCCUGGUGUGUCAUCUUCAAAAGCUUCUCGCCAUCCACCUGCUGCCACCUGAAGGCCGGGAGGUACUGCUGCAGGCUGUCGUCCAGACCUCAAUGACAAAAAUAAAAUAAAUAAAU